rnacentral:misc_RNA from 1 species
GAAUGGCCCAGGAAAAAGCGAAAAAUAAGGAAUUGCGCCGGACAAUUAUGGAGCGGCUGUUUGGAGAAGACUCGGAGGACUGAAACGCGGAAACUUGACUUGGUCUUAAAUCACGAACAUGGGAAGAGAGAUUGGAUUUCAUCGAUGAAGAAUGGCUUUCACCGCGGAAGGACAAACUGCGGUACGGAGAGACCGCUACAGC